GAGAGAGGAUGCAUAUUUUUGAAACAAAAGAGAGAGAGAGAGAGAGAGAGAGAGAGGAGAUGCAUAGCCUGUCUGUGGGGAAUGCAAAACGCAUCUGUGGACUGAUUUUGUUGACCAAUUAUUUUGGCUAACUUGCCUUUUUUUUUCUUUUUUUUUUUUGCCUUUCUAUUUUUUUUUUCCUACUAACUUUUAACCAUUCUAUAGUUUCCAAAGCAAAUAAAAAAAAAAGAAAAAAAAGAAGAGAAGCAGUUUUUUUUUUUAAGUACACUAAUUUUUACCCUCUAAUUUGCUUUCUAAUGAGCUAACUUUUUUUAAAUUUUUUUAAAAUUAUUUUAUUUGAAAUAUAAACUCUUAAUAUUGAGUUGGCAAAUAUUUUGAUAUUGAGAAGUAAACUGUGAGACCCUUGGUGUUCAGCAGUGAAGGCUUGUCGACAUCUCUGGAGAGUGUCGAGACAAGUCUGAGUCACGUUGGCGCGAAAUAGACGCAAAACGGACUCUGUGCGACGCGAGAGCAGCAUUUAGCAAGAAAAUCUACAAAAAAGCUGAUUUUUUGCUUGCUGUACCGGUACAGCCAUCAUCGUGUACCGGUGCACCGCACAGGUUGCGCGCAAACUGGUCUCGGGUUGGCUUCUUGUACCGGUACGCGAGCCCAUGUACCGGUACGUCAGGGUAGGUAGGAGGACUUUUUGGUCUUUUUCCACCUCGUUCGUGUCACCCUUUCCCUCUCUCUCUAUUUAGGCUUAUGUAGAGCUGAGAGAGAGAGUUUGUACUGUCCUUCUACUCCUCUCUCUCUAGUUUCGAUCGUGAGCCAAGGAGGGAGCUCGGGUGGAGGUUUCGCCGUCGACGUCGCACCGCGAAGCCGUUCGAGCGUACGUUCGCCGCCGUUGUGUCGCAAGGAGGCCGGGCGAGCAUAGAUCUUCGCCGUUAUUGACGUCGCCCUGGUGCUAGUCGCUGUCGAGAUUUUUCGGCAUUGAUCGUUGGCGUUUUGGCUCGUUCUCGGCGUAGGAGCGUCGGAUUUUGACGAGAUUUGGUUCGUUGGAUUCGGGACUUCGAGAGGAAUCCACGAAGCCUUUACUUGCCGAAUUUGGUGAAGAUCCGUGGAGCAUUGUUGUCGCUGGUUCGGGGAGCUGCGCCGAGCUUGACAGGGACUCCGGUGACCUUCUUCACUGUCAGGGAUUUACGUU